GUGAAGGCUGUUGAAGACAGAAGAAGGUCGUCAGCCAUUCUAGUCAGUUUCUCCUCAAAGUUUGGACAUUUUACUAGAAUACAACUUUGAUUCAGCGCAGAAUUCAAUAAUCCUGUGGAUGGACCGCAGCGAGUCCUUUUGCAGUUAUCCAUCAAAAUGCUAUGCAGACAUAAUGCAAAUGGCAUUUACAUUGUAGAGCUUGGACAAAGUUCACACAGGCUCUGCGCAGGAAUUCAUCAAGGACAUGACUGCUGGGAUCACGCUUGUGGAUGACCAAUCUGAGCACCAUCAGUCUGUAG